AGCAGCCGCGGUAAUUCCAGCUCCAAUAGCGUAUAUUAAAGUUGUUGCAGUUAAAAAGCUCGUAGUUGAAUUUCGGGAUCAGUACGCCGGUCGUGCCUUCGGUAUGUACUGGUGUCACUGGUUCCUCCCUUCUGAAGAACCGUUAUGCCAUUCAUUUGGUGUGAUGGGGAAUCAGGACUGUUACUUUGAAAAAAUUAGAGUGUUUAAAGCAGGCUCGCGCUUGAAUACAUUAGCAUGGAAUAAUGAAAUAGGACGUUUGAUCUUAUUUUGUUGGUUUCUAGGAUCGACGUAAUGAUUAAUAGGGAUAGUUGGGGGCAUUAGUAUUCAAUUGUCAGAGGUGAAAUUCUUGGAUUUAUUGAAGACUAACUACUGCGAAAGCAUUUGCCAAGGAUGUUUUCAUUAAUCAAGAACGAAAGUUAGGGGAUCGAAGACGAUCAGAUACCGUCGUAG
rnacentral:rRNA from 1 species